rnacentral:rRNA from 1 species
UACGUAGGGUGCGAGCGUUGUCCGGAAUUACUGGGCGUAAAGAGCUUGUAGGCGGUUUGUCGCGUCGUCUGUGAAAACUCACAGCUCAACUGUGAGCUUGCAGGCGAUACGGGCAGACUUGAGUACUUCAGGGGAGACUGGAAUUCCCGGUGUAGUGGUGGAAUGCGUAGAUAUCGGGAGGAACACCAGUGGCGAAGGCGGUUGCCUGGGGCUUUGCUGACGCUGAUGCGCGAAAGCGUGGGAGCGAGUCCGG